ensembl:lncRNA
GAAUGGAGAGUUUGGCCAUGAUGGAGACGUUGAGAGUAAACUCAGAGUGACAGGAGAUGAGAGUGAUCCUGAGCCCCCUGAAGACAACCUGCACAUCCUGAGCAGCCAGGAGGACUCACUGAGGAAGAGCUCAGGGGAGAGGAAGAGGGGCAGAGACCGAGGAAAGGGUAAAGGACACAAAGGACGACAUAAACGACAACGGAAGCGUUUGGAGGACCAAGAUGAAGAGAUUGGAGAGGAUAUGUAUGAAGCUGAAGAGUACAUCUAUGAAUAUGAGGUAAACGACUCUGGACUAUUAACUUAUUGAUUAGUAUCCAAGUAUAAACACUGUGCAAAACCUGAGGUGAAUAAGAAUAAAUCCUAAAAGCCAACAUGUGGUGGGGCCUUAUGGAUGUUAAAUGAUGAGCUUAAGAGUUAAGGGCCGUUAAGAGUAUUAAAGUCAUUCUCAUAAUGCCCUGCUCAACGUUCAAUGGUGUAAUUAGCGCC